rnacentral:tRNA from 1 species
GCCCUCGUGGAGCAGGGGAGUGCUCGCCACCCUGUCAAGGUGGAGGCCACGGGUUCGAAUCCCGUCGAGGGCGC